rnacentral:rRNA from 1 species
AGAGUUUGAUCCUGGCUCAGAGUUAACGCUGGCGGCGUGCCUAACACAUGCAAGUCGAGCGAAGAGUGGCAGAGUAUCGCGCUCUUAGCGGCAGACGGGUGAGUAACACUUAAACAAUCUGCCCUCGAAUGGGAGACAACCAAGCGAAAGUUUGGCUAAUACCCCAUACAAUCCUCUCUAGGCAUCUAGAGGGGAUGAAAGGCCCGCAAGGGUCGUUCGAGGAGGAGUUUAAGUCCUAUCAGCUAGUUGGCGGUGUAACAGACCACCAAGGCUAUGACGGGUAGCCGAUCUAAAAGGAUGACCGGCCACAAGGGCACUGAGACACGGGCCCUACUCCUACGGGAGGCAGCAGUGGGGAAUUUUGGACAAUGGACGAAAGUCUGAUCCAGCGACGCCGCGUGAAGGACGAAGGUUUUCGGAUCGUAAACUUCUUUUGCAGGGGACGAAUGCGCGCAAGCGUUGACGUACUCUGCGAAUA